GGUCCGGUAGUUCAGUUGGUUAGAAUGCCGCCCUGUCACGGCGGAGGUCGCGGGUUCGAGUCCCGUCCGGACCGC
rnacentral:tRNA from 2 species